GGAUUGCCCCAGUAGCGGCGAGCGAAGCGGCAACAGCUCAAAUUUGAAAUCUGGCCCCUCCGGGGUCCGAGUUGUAAUUUGCAGAGGAGGCUUCGGCGUCGGCCCCGGGAUAGGUCCCCUGGAACGGGGCGCCAAAGAGGGUGAGAGCCCCGUACUCGCCCGGGUCGUCUUCGCCGUGUGAAGCUCCUUCGAAGAGUCGAGUUGUUUGGGAAUGCAGCUCUAAGCGGGAGGUAUAUUUCUUCUAAAGCUAAAUACCGGCCAGAGACCGAUAGCGCACAAGUAGAGUGAUCGAAAGAUGAAAAGCACUUUGGAAAGAGAGUUAAAAAGCACGUGAAAUUGUUGAAAGGGAAGCUCUUGCCGCCAGACUUGCCCCGGCCGUUCAGCCGUCCUUCUGGGCGGUGCACUCGUCCGGUGGCAGGCCAGCGUCAGUUCGGGCGGUCGGACAAAGGCCGCGGGAAUGUAGCACCCCUAGGGGUGUGUUAUAGCCCGCGGUGCAAUACGACCAGCCCGGUCUGAGGGACGCGUUCGCGAGGACGUUGGCGUAAUGGCGGCAAGCGACCCGUCUUGAAACACGGACCAAGGAGUCUAACAUCUGUGCGAGUGUUUGGGUGUCAAACCCAUGCGCGCAAUUAAAGUGAACGGAGGUUGGAACCCCCUCGAGGGGCGCACAAUCGACCGAUCCUGAUGUCUUCGGAUGGAUUUGAGUAAGAGCAUAGCUGUUGGGACCCGAAAGAUGGUGAACUUUGCCUGGACAGGGCGAAGCCAGAGGAAACUCUGGUGGAGGCUCGCAGCGGUUCUGACGUGCAAAUCGAUCGUCAAAUCUUGGCAAAGGGGCGAAAGACUAAUCGAACCAUCGAGAAAUUUUCUUGAGACGCUACUAGGUGGUUGACAAGACACGCCCUGGCCCCUGGCGGGGCCGGGGACCUUAGUGAGCCGUCCACGAGCUGGCUCGCGACGUGGCCUCAUUGCGGGGACGCUCUGGCAGCCGGUAGCUACCGCGGCGGGGUCGAAAGCCUCCGCGCAGCACCCGAGCAGCGCCUCGGGGGAGGGUGACAACGCUACCGGUUUGGGGCGAUCCGCAGCCGAGCCCCUAAGCUUCGCCAGCGCGCAGGCGCGGAAAGGGGCCGGUUCACAGACUAGGAGGUUACGGGCGCAUCCCCCAAGGGGGCGCCCAAGGUAUAGUCGGAUCCCCCCAGAGAUGGGCGGGUGGGACCCUCGAGAGGGGCGGGAACCCGAGCAGAUGCUAGUAGCUGGUUCCCGCCGAAGUUUCCCUCAGGAUAGCAGUGACGUCGACAGUUUUAUGAGGUAAAGCGAAUGAUUAGAGGCCUUGGGGUUGAAACAACCUUAACCUAUUCUCAAACUUUAAAUAUGUAAGAAGCCCUUGUUGCUUAGCUGAACGUGGGCAGUCGAAUGGACCGUCACUAGUGGGCCAUUUUUGGUAAGCAGAACUGGCGAUGCGGGAUGAACCGAAAGCGAGAUUAAGGUGCCGGAAUGCACGCUUAUCAGACACCACAAAAGGUGUUGGUUGAUCCUGACAGCAGGACGGUGGCCAUGGAAGUCGGAACCCGCCAAGGAGUGUGUAACAACUCACCUGCCGAAUCAACUAGCCCUGAAAAUGGAUGGCGCUCAAGCGUGCUACCCAAAUCUCGCCGCCGGGGCAGGAUCGAUGCCCCGGCGAGUAGGCGGGCGCGGGGGUCAUGGUGACGAAGCCCAGGGAGCGAUCCCGGGUAGAACGGCCCCCGGUG
rnacentral:rRNA from 1 species